rnacentral:rRNA from 2 species
GGAUACGGCCAUACUGCGCAGAAAGCACCGCUUCCCAUCCGAACAGCGAAGUUAAGCUGCGCCAGGCGGUGUUAGUACUGGGGUGGGCGACCACCCGGGAAUCCAUCGUGCCGUAUCCUUUU